UACAGAGGUCUCAAGCGUUGUCCGGAAUCACUGGGCGUAAAGGGCGCGUAGGUGGCGGCCCAAGUCCGUGGUGAAAGCUCGCCGCUUAACGGCGAGUCGGCCACGGAGACUGGGUGGCUCGAGCACUGUAGGGGCAGAUGGAAUUCCGGGUGUAGCGGUGGAAUGCGUAGAGAUCCGGAAGAACACCAGUGGCGAAGGCGGUCUGCUGGGCAGUUGCUGACACUGAUGCGCGACAGCGUGGGGAGCAAACAGG
rnacentral:rRNA from 1 species